AUUGUAACCCCUGGGCUGCAGUGACAGGGUGUGCCUUCAGAGGGCACUGGGCAUUGUUACCCCUGGGCAGCAGUGACAGGGUGUGCCUUCAGAGGGCACUGGGCAUUGUUACCUCAGGGCAGCAGUGACAGGGUGUGCCUUCAGAGGGCACUGGGUACUCUAACCCCUGGGCAGCAGUGACAAGGUGUGCCUUCAGAGGGCACUGGGCACUCUAACCCCUGGGCUGCAGUGACAGGGUGUGCCUUCAGAGGGCACUGGGCAUUGUUACCCCUGGGCAGCAGUGACAAGGUGUGCCUUCAGAGGGCACUGGGUACUCUAACCCCUGGGCAGCAGUGACGGGGUGUGCCUUCAGAGGGCACUGGGCAUUGUAACCCCUGGGCUGCAGUGACAGGGUGUGCCUUCAGAGGGCACUGGGCAUUGUUACCACUGGGCAGCAG